rnacentral:rRNA from 1 species
CGUGUGAAAAACUCCGGUGGUAUGAGAUGGACCCGCGUCUGAUUAGCUAGUUGGUGGGGUAACGGCCUACCAAGGCGACGAUCAGUAGCCGACCUGAGAGGGUGACCGGCCACAUUGGGACUGAGACACGGCCCAAACUCCUACGGGAGGCAGCAUG